AACGCAAACUAAAGUUUCUGCCUCAUUGUUUCUGCAUACAGAAUUUAAGGACACACACACCCCCUGACACCCACCAGGCCAGGGGGGCAACAUGAAGCUCAAUGUGGGCGCCAUCUUGGCUAAUCCAAAAAGGUGGAGCUGAGAUCAACCUGCACAGCUGAGACACCUUAACACUGGAGAAAGAGGAUGAAGAACCCCUGACACCUGCAGUUGCAACAGGAAAGCAGCACCUAACAUGUCUUCUGUCAAGAAACAACACGAGGUACACAUGAGAUGCCGACCCUCCGUGGCCUCCCAGUGAACCUGCUAGUGGAUGACUGACGUCUUCAAAACCUGUAAUGCUCCCUCUGUAAACCAAUACUGAUCCCAAGUAGCAGAGUGGCUGACUGAGCGCCUGAAUGGUAGACUCGCCGACUGUGCCCAGUGGUGGAUAAAUGUGGUUACUAUUCAAUAACUGGGUUAUGAAUUGAUCUGUCUGUUCGUGGCAUGAAUGCGUAAGGCGGCCAGAUCAGUGUGUGGGUGCUGUUUUGUUGUGUGUGUGGGUGUGCAUGUGACAACACUCCUUGUGUCUAUAUGUGAGAAUGUGCAUGUAUUGUAUGUGCCAGUAUAGUGUGUCCAUGUGUGUUUCUCCAAUUUGUCAGGACCUUUAAACCGUGCUUGUUUGUCUAGUGUUGACGUGUGUAUAGUACACUGACUGCUUGUCCUAGUUUUCCUUUGAAAUGCACUUGUGUUCCACUGCCUUUUGUGUUUUCACGUGUCUGUCUCUGUGUGUGCACAGUUUCCAGUCUUCCCUUUUGAUUCUCGUUAAUUUGGGCCAUGUCUUUGCUGAUCACCUGUCUCCAUUUGGACGAUGGAUGGAGGCCUGAUUCCUCAAUAGGUUUCUUCUUUGCCCGAUACAGCUCUAUUAAAUCUAGUCUAAUUUCAUUUUCCUUGGUGAUUUGCCCACAUGUCUCCAGCACACAGGUCUCAAUGAGCUCACGAUUGAAUUGGAUCAAGGCAUAUCAGCUUCUGCAGAGAUCAGACUUAGCUUUAGUGCCAUGGCAGCAGGUGUGUGUUUCUGAUUUGAUUGUGGC